CAAAUAAUGAACAGAUGUUGAACAGAAGAAGUGUGUUAGAGGAAGCAGAAGCUGUGUGUGUGUGUGUGUGUGUGUGUGUGUGAGUGUGUGUGUGUGUGUGUGUGUGAGUGUGUGUGUGUGUGUGCGGCGCGGACGCUGAAGAACGGUAACGCUCGGAUGAAAGAGUCCAGUUUACUGCUGAACAGAUCACUCUGGAGAGACUCGCCCAGAACACACAGAGGAUUCCUCACGAUGUACUC